UUAAGUCGGCAGAAGAGAAACUUACUCUAUACAUAUAUGUGAGUGAUGUAUUUUCAUGGAGAGGAGAGAAAUAAAAGUUCUUAGAAUAAAAAGAGGUGAAAGAAAGCUAUAACAAAUGGAAAUGGAAAUAGUAUAAAGAUCGGUGGAAAUUAGUAGAUGGAAUCAGGAGCUCAAUUAGAUGAGAUAUCGUAUCCAGGAAUAAGAUAUGAGUGAAGUAUUUGGUUGA